UGAACUUCUUCAUGUGCUGAAUCCAGCGGC
rnacentral:piRNA from 1 species